AGCAGAUUCCCUGGGUAAAAGCAGAUUCUCAGAUGGAGUGGGCAGAUUCUCAGGGUGAAGCAGCAGAUUCCCUGGGUAAAAGAGCAGAUUCUCAUGAGGGAUAGGCAGAUUCUCAGGGUGAAGGAGCAGAUUCCCUGGGUAAAAGCAGAUUCUCAGGAGGGAUAGGCAGAUUCUCAGGUGAAGUGGGGCAGAUUCUCAGGGUGAAGGAGCAGAUUCCCUGGGUAAAAGAGCAGAUUCUCGGGUGGAGUGGGGUAGAUUUUUAGGAAGAA